rnacentral:misc_RNA from 1 species
GAUGAAGAACGUAGCGAAAUGCGAUACUUGGUGUGAAUUGCAGAAUCCCGUGAACCAUCGAGUCUUUGAACGCAAGUUGCGCCCGAAGCCAUUAGGCCGAGGGCACGCCUGCCUGGGCGUCACACGUCGUUGCCCCCCCAUCUACUCCUUCGGGAUUGCGGGGGGCGGAUGAUGGCCUCCCGUGCGCCUCGUCGCGCGGUUGGCAUAAAUGCCAAGUCCUCGGCGACGCACGCCACGACAAUCGGUGGUUGCGAAACCUCGGUUGCCCGUCGUGUGCGGUCGUCGCGCAUCGAGGGCUCGAAAAAAUUGCCGAGUUCCGGCUCGGCUUUCAACGCGACCCCAGGUCAGGCGGGGUUACCCGCUGAAUUUAAGCAUAUCAAUAAGCGGAGGA